UUUCUUUUUCUGCAUCCGCUGCUCUGUUAAGUGAUCACCACAUUCAUUGUUCUCGUUUCUAUUAUUUCUGAAAAAAAUCUUCAGGAUUCUGCUUGUGGGAGUGGAUGACAUUUUUACAGUGUUUACAGACACAAAAUGAACAAGAUGUCUGUGGCAACCCUCAGACCAUUGACGCCUUCUCUCCUAUGUAUCAAAUCACACAUUUGGACGUUGACUGAACCCUCACAUGUCAGAUGCUCAAUAUUGAGGUAUAGUAAAAGGGAGCAUGAACUUGAGAAAAUACGCUUUCAACACAAAGCUGUAAUAAUAUAAGGUCAAAUAAGAUUCUGCAUUGGAGAUAGAAAACUCUGAAGGAAGCUUUAUCUAUUCCAGAAUGUCAUAUAGCUGGUAUAAGAAAGAACACUAAUCAUUCCUAAGGAAGAAAAUUAACAACGCCGUGAGUUAUAAUAUCUGGCUGAAACUGAAGGAGCUCUGUGUAAUUAAAAGUCCUUUCUGCCCUGCCUGGCCAUGGUUCUGUAUGCAUUGAUGUCUUACAAACUGAAAAAAAAAAAAGUUAUUUUCUCAUCUCCAUUCCCUAGCAUAGAC